GUAAGGAGAGGUGGGAUGAGAGAGAGAGGAGAGAGAGGAGAGGUAAGGAGAGGUGGGAUGAGAGAGAGAGGAGAGAGAGAGAGGAGAGGUAAGGAGAGGUGGGAUGAGAGAGAGAGGAGAGAGAGGAGAGGUAAAGGAGAGGUGGGAUGAGAGAGAGAGGAGAGAGAGAGAGGAGAGGUAAGGAGAGGUGGGAUGAGAGAGAGAGGAGAGGUAAGGAGAGGUGGGAUGAGAGAGAGAGGAGAGAGAGGAGAGGUAAAGGAGAGGUGGGAUGAGAGAGAGAUGAGAGAGAGAGGAGAGGUAAGGAGAGGUGGGAUGAGAGAGAGAGGAGAGAGAGGAGAGGUAAAGGAGAGGUGGGAUGAGAGAGAGAGGAGAGAGAGAGAGGAGAGGUAAGGAGAGGUGGGAUGAGAGAGAGAGGAGAGGUAAGGAGAGGUGGGAUGAGAGAGAGAGGAGAGGUAAGGAGAGGUGGGAUGAGAGAGAGAGGAGAGGUAAGGAGAGGUGGGAUGAGAGAGAGAGGAGAGGUAAGGAGAGGUGGGAUGAGAGAGAGAGGAGAGGUAAGGAGAGGUGGGAUGAGAGAGAGAGGAGAGGUAAGGAGAGGUGGGAUGAGAGAGAGAGGAGAGGUAAGGAGAGGUGGGAUGAGAGAGAGAGGAGAGAGAGAGAGGAGAGGUAAGGAGAGGUGGGAUGAGAGAGAGGAGAGAGAGAGGAGAGAGAGAGAAAAAAAGCGAGAGAGAGAGAGCGAGAGAGAGAGAGAGAGAAAGAAGAGAGAGAGCGAGAGAGAGAGACGUUA